rnacentral:lncRNA from 1 species
UGGUUGGUGGGGAACUUCAAUUUCAAAUGGUAAGUCGAUACGACAACCUGAAGAGCAUUGAGGCCGGGUCAGCUAAGGAUUGCAUUGUAGGCGGAUGGCGCCUUCACCACCAAGAAAUUCACCAGGGCCCUAGACUGCCUUGGAUAUUGACCCGCGGCCACAGUCAAAGCUAUCAUCCCUUCUGUCGGGACGGUAUCACCAGUAAACCCUAUCAAGGGGGAGCAAAUCGGUCUCAGAGACCGCCAAGAGUGGACAUUCUUGAAAAGGCAUUGUAGAACAAGAUGUCGGCCGAACUCCCAUUGUCGACGAGAAUGCGACGGACGUCGUAAUUUGCUAUGUUCA